CCCGAAAUUAGGUGAGAUAUUAUUAUAUGUUAGUUAAUGUUUCAUAAUUAUUGAUAAUAUAAUGAUAGUAAUGAGAAGUUAUUCGUUCUUAAAUAUCUGGUUUCCCGGGAUUUGAAUUCAAUUCAGAGUUAUUGACUUGUAUUUUUCUAUUUUAAUUGUUUGAUGUUUAAUAACUUAAAGUUUUCGAGGAUAAGCUCGGGAUCUUUUUUAUAAUUUGGAUUUAUAUAUUAGUUAUUGUAGGCUUGGAAUCAGCCAUCAUAAAUUUCGUUAUAGAUUAUUCUUAAUAUUUUUUUAUUUUGUUUAAAUUUAAUUUUGUACUGGGGCUGUUUAUUUAAUCAAGAAUUGCUUGUGAUAAUGAUUGUAUUAGUAUAUUUGUCAGUUGAGGAAUAGGAAUUCGGCAAAUAUCGUGUUCGCCUGUUUAACAAAAACAUGUCCUUUUGGGUUAUUUAUUUAAGGUUUAGCCUGCCCAAUGAGUUGUUUAAUGGCCGCGGUAUAUUAACCGUGCUAAGGUAGCAUAAUCAUUUGUCUUUUAAUUAAGGGCUUGUAUGAAUGGCUGGACGAGGCACGUGCUUUCUUUUUUUCAGUUUUAGAAUUUAUCUUUUUAGUUAAAAGACUAAAAUUUUUCUGCGGGACGAGAAGACCCUAUAGAUCUUAAUAUUAUAGGGUUUUAUAUUUUUUGGUUUAUUUUUGUUUUAUUAUCUUGUUUUAUUUAAUUGGGGCGAUUGCAGAGAAUCAAAAACUUCUGUUUAUUUAAUUCAUAAAUUAGUGUUUUUAUGGUCCAUUAUUAAUGAUGUAAGAUUAAGUUACCUUAGGGAUAACAGCGUAAUUUUUUCGGAGAGUUCAUAUCGAUGAAGGAGUUUGCGACCUCGAUGUUGGAUUAAAAUUAGUGUUAGGUGUAGCAAUUUAAUAACUGGGUCUGUUCGACCUUUAAUUUUUUACAUGAUCUGAGUUCAGACCGGCGUGAGCCAGGUCAGUUUCUAUCUUCAGUUUAUUUUCAUAUUUUAGUACGAAAGGACCAAAUA
rnacentral:rRNA from 1 species